rnacentral:rRNA from 1 species
AGAGUUUGAUCAUGGGUCAAAUUGAACGCUGGCGGCAGGCCUAACACAUGCAAGUCGAGCGGAUGAUGGGAGCUUGCUCCUGGAUUCAGCGGCGGACGGGUGAGUAAUGCCUAGGAAUCUGCCUGGUAGUGGGGGACAACGUUUCGAAAGGAACGCUAAUACCGCAUACGUCCUACGGGAGAAAGCAGGGGACCUUCGGGCCUUGCGCUAUCAGAUGAGCCUAGGUCGGAUUAGCUUGUUGGUGAGGUAAUGGCUCACCAAGGCGACGAUCCGUAACUGGUCUGAGAGGAUGAUCAGUCACACUGGAACUGAGACACGGUCCAGACUCCUACGGGAGGCAGC